CUGCACCUUGGCGUCCAGCGUCCUCUUCAGCUCCACCAUAUAGGAGUACUGCUCCGGAUAGAUGUAUUCAUAGGGGAAAUAGACCAGUAAACCAUCUAUAUUCAGCCUGGAGAAGAACCACACAGUAUAUAUAGAGCAGACUCCGCCUCCUUCGGUCCGGCCCCGCCCCCCGGGCUCGCCGUAAAGUUGGUCGUUAGUCUCCGGCACGAGAUCAGGACGGGGAAGCAGCCAUUGUUUGUUUCUGGAAGUUCGACCAAUAGGAAACGACUCAGGAGUCAUGUGACCGCGCGACCCGUGACCCCCGCGACGCGGUUGUCGACUAGAGAGGAGUCUUCGGAAAAAUGGCUGCGCACCGCCAGCAAAGCAUGAUGGGUAGAGAGCAACAUGUGAUCAUUUAUCUGACCUACAAAAACCGAUUAUCUGGGUGUGGGAGGCGAGGAAUAAACUGGAAUCAGAUAUGGAAAGGUUUGUGCUUCUCCUUCCCAUAAAAUGAAGAUGUUGUCCUCAAAGUUAAGUGUAUUGUCCCACCACGGAGCAGAUCCUGAUAUGACACAAACUGCACCCAUCGCAGUCCCCAAAGGUUAAGGAGGAAUUUACCACCAAACUAAAAACAGUAAAGUGAGCGCCAAAGUAAACUGCAGGAAAUGUAAAAUAAACAGAUUGUGUUAGCUGAGGUGCGGCUGCUUGUCUCAUUGCGUAGGGUGCCAAUAUGUGCCGGGUGCCAAUAUGUGCC